UGCAGUCGAGCGAAUGGAUUGAGAGCUUGCUCUCAAGAAGUUAGCGGCGGACGGGUGAGUAACACGUGGGUAACCUGCCCAUAAGACUGGGAUAACUCCGGGAAACCGGGGCUAAUACCGGAUAACAUUUUGAACUGCAUGGUUCGAAAUUGAAAGGCGGCUUCGGCUGUCACUUAUGGAUGGACCCGCGUCGCAUUAGCUAGUUGGUGAGGUAACGGCUCACCAAGGCAACGAUGCGUAGCCGACCUGAGAGGGUGAUCGGCCACACUGGGACUGAGACACGGCCCAGACUCCUACGGGAGGCAGCAGUAGGGAAUCUUCCGCAAUGGACGAAAGUCUGACAGAGCAACGCCGCGUGAGUGAUGAAGGCUUUCGGGUCGUAAAACUCUGUUGUUAGGGAAGAACAAGUGCUAAUUGAAUAAGCUGGCACCUUGACGGUACCUAACCAGAAAGCCACGGCUAACUACGUGCCAGCAGCCGCGGUAAUACGUAGGUGGCAAGCGUUAUCCGGAAUUAUUGGGCGUAAAGCGCGCGCAGGUGGUUUCUUAAGUCUGAUGUGAAAGCCCACGGCUCAACCGUGGAGGGUCAUUGGAAACUGGGAGACUUGAGUG
rnacentral:rRNA from 1 species